GCCCGGGUGGUGAAAUUGGUAGACACAAGGGACUUAAAAUCCCUCGGCCUUACGGCCGUGCCGGUUCGAGUCCGGCCCCGGGCACCA
rnacentral:tRNA from 1 species